rnacentral:rRNA from 1 species
UACGUAGGGUGCGAGCGUUGUCCGGAAUUAUUGGGCGUAAAGGGCUCGUAGGCGGUUUGUCACGUCGGGAGUGAAAACUCAGGGCUUAACCCUGAGCCUGCUUCCGAUACGGGCAGACUAGAGGUAUGCAGGGGGAGAACGGAAUUCCUGGUGUAGCGGUGAAAUGCGCAGAUAUCAGGAGGAACACCGGUGGCGAAGGCGGUUCUCUGGGCAUUACCUGACGCUGAGGAGCGAGAGUGUGGGGAGCGAACAGG